UACGUAGGGUGCGAGCGUUGCCCGGAUUUAUUGGGCGUAAAGGGCGCGUAGGCGGCUCUGCACGUUCGUUGUGAAAUCGCCCGGCUCAACUGGGCGGGGUCAGCGGAUACGGCGGAGCUUGAGCAAGCUAGGGGGCAAUGGAAUUCCCGGUGUAGUGGUGGAAUGCGCAGAUAUCGGGAGGAACACCAAUGGCGAAGGCAGCUCGCUGGGACGUGACUGACGCUGAGACGCGAAAGCGUGGGGAGCAAACAGG
rnacentral:rRNA from 1 species